rnacentral:rRNA from 1 species
GAUGAACGCUGGCGGCGUGCCUAAUACAUGCAAGUCGAGCGAACGGACGAGAAGCUUGCUUUUUUGAUGUUAGCGGCGGACGGGCGAGUAACACGUGGAUAACCUACUUAUUAGUCUGGGAUAACUUCGGGAAACCGGUGCUAAUACUGGAUAAUAUUUUGUACCGCAUGGUUCAAAAGUGCAUGACGGUUUUGCUGUCUCUUUUAGACGGAUCCGCGCUGCAUUAGCUAGUUGGUAAGGUAACGGCUUACCAAGGCUACGAUGCGUAGCCGACCUGAGAGGAUGAUCGGCCACACUGGAACUGAGACACGGUCCAGACUCCUACGGGAGGCAGCAGUAGGGAAUCUUCCGCAAUGGGCGAAAGCCUGACGGAGCAACGCCGCGUGAGUGAAGAAGGUCUUCGGAUCGUAAAACUCUGUUAUUAGGAAAGAACAGAUGUGGAAGAAACUGUGCACAUCUUGACGGUACCUAAUCAGAAAGCCACGGCUAACUACGUG